AGAACCAGACGGGGGGGAGAACCAGACAGAGGAGGAGAACCAAAGAGAGGAGGAGAACCAGAGAGAGGAGGAGAACCAAUGGGAGGCUUCAUCCAAUGUCAUGGGGGUGUCUAUGCUGUAACUAAACAUAAGUUGGUGUCAUGCAACACAUUUGUUGUAAUAUUCAGACGAAGUCAGCGUCUGUUUUGUAGUUUCCACUUUGAUAGAAAAUGAAGGAAAAUGGAUGACGACGUCUCAAUGGAUCCUCCUCAGAAUCUAGACAACAAAGAGAGAAAUUCACAGCAAAAGUCCUCAGAGGAUGAAAAUUCAAUCAAGAUUGUAGUUUGUGAAACUCGUUAAAGCUGCAUAAAAACUCCAGUGUGAAACAACAACAGGUCAAAGUUUCAAAGGGGGGCCGUCUUCACCAACCUGAGGCUCUUUCCACUUCUCAGCUGACUGACCAGAACCUGUGGGGGUUCUGGUUCUGCACUGGAUUCUACUCACAACAUCAGUACUUUAAGCCACAUAAGCAGCAGGGAGGAGGAGCUUCCUGUCAGAAGCCGUCAUUUUAUUGGAGAUGACUUCCUGUCAUUCCGUGAAUCUAGAUCUGAUGGGACUGAUGGUGAGAUUACAAAGACGUGAUCUUCUGCUUUAAGGUCAGGAAAAGGUCACGGUCCUGAUGUCUCCUCACAUCGUAAACAAAGGUUGUUUGUGACGUUUUGGCGCGUUAUCAAUCGCCAAAACGCCAUUGAUUGGAGGACGGGUGUUUCCGGAAUCAAACCCCGAUGGACCUUCACCCGGCUGACCGUCAGUCAGGACUGGAACCAAGAGAAAAGGUUUGGACUCAGGAACGGAGGCGUCUGCUGUGGAACAUCUGCAGCUUUUGCUGAGGGCCACUCUCAAUGCUAUGAGGGCAUUAAGCUCCUCCCACU